UCGGCGGGCGAUCCGCGUCGGUCUCGCUGGGUGGUAUGGUUCCCCAGAGGCCGGUUCUUGUGCUGCCUACCCCUCAAGGGGAAGCGGGCCGCUCGAUGCAAGCCUCCAUCCCGCGCCCUCCAACGGGCGCAGGAGGACAACGGAGCACCCCCCGCGUUCCACCGAGCCUCCUCGGUCGCGUGGCGCGCGGGGACGUGCGAUGCUCUCGGACCCAGCGAACGCCGUGGGCGAGGACUCACGUCCCAGUCCCGAUAGAAGCUCCCACAUAAUGCAUGACGGCCGCUCCCGUCCCCCGACCGCCCCGGCGGCGCGGGGGCGAGGCGCGGCGUCGCGGAGGAAUGCUACCUG
rnacentral:misc_RNA from 1 species